rnacentral:rRNA from 1 species
GAUGAACGCUGGCGGCGUGCCUAAUACAUGCAAGUCGAGCGAACGGACGAGAAGCUUGCUUCUCUGAUGUUAGCGGCGGACGGGUGAGUAACACGUGGAUAACCUACCUAUAAGACUGGGAUAACUUCGGGAAACCGGAGCUAAUAACGGAUAAUAUUUUGAACCGCAUGGUUCAAAAGUGAAAGACGGUCUUGCUGUCACUUAUAGAUGGAUCCGCGCUGCAUUAGCUAGUUGGUAAGGUAACGGCUUACCAAGGCAACGAUGCAUAGCCGACCUGAGAGGAUGAUCGGCCACACUGGAACUGAGACACGGUCCAGACUCCUACGGGAGGCAGCAGUAGGGAAUCUUGCGCAAUGGGCGAAAGCCUGACGGAGCAACGCCGCGUGAGUGAUGAAGGUCUUCGGAUCGUAAAACUCUGUUAUUAGGGAAGAACAUAUGUGUAAGUAACUGUGCACAUCUUGACGGUACCUAAUCAGAAAGCCACGGCUAACUACGUG